GACGAACGCUGGCGGCGUGCUUAACACAUGCAAGUCGAACGGAAAGGCCCUGCUUCUUGCUUGUGUCCGACUUGCUAGCGGGCGAGUAACACGUGAGUAACCAACCCUCGAUUUUGGGAUAACUUAAAGAAACUAACGCUAAUACCUGCUACGUGCUCCUGCUUCAUGGUGUGGGGUGGAAAUGUUCGGCGGUUGGGGUUGGUCUCGCGGCUAAUCAGCUGGGUGGUGGGGUAGUGGCUUACCAAGGCGGUGACGGGUAGCCGGCCUGAGAGGGUGACAGGCCCCAUAGGGACUGGGAUAGGGCCAAGACGCAUACGGGAGGAAGCGGUGGGGAAUAUUGCAAACAAGGCGGAGGCAGGAAGGAGGACCUCCGCGUGGGGGAUGACGGCUUUCGGGGUGUAAAGGGCUUUGGGCUAAGAGGAAGAGUGAGUGACGGUAACGGGUAAAGAAGCAACGGCUAACUACGUG
rnacentral:rRNA from 1 species